AAUAAACAAGCGGCUCGUCUGAAAUGCCUGAGUGUACCCCGCUUUGCGGCGUAUUCGGUGUGAUAAAUCUCCACCGGAGUUGAUCCCUUUAUGGGGGUCGCGUCUGUAAUGGUGUGGCUCUAUGCUUCAAACUGUCUCCUAUCGGGACAAAUCUCUGACAAUUUGACCUCAAAUCGGGUGGGACUACCCGCUGAACUUAA
rnacentral:misc_RNA from 1 species